AAGGAUCAUUAUCGAAUUAUAAGCGAGGGUUGUAGCUGGCCUCCCUUUCGAGGCAUGUGCACGCCUGAGCUCUUAAAUCCACAACACACCUGUGAACCCACCGUAGGCCUUCGGGCUUAUGUAUCAUAUACUCUGAAUGUGUCAUAGAAUGUUCAUGUUGCCUUAAAACGCAAUCAAAUACAACUUUCAACARCGGAUCUCUUGGCUCUCGCAUCGAUGAAGAACGCAGCGAAAUGCGAUAAGUAAUGUGAAUUGCAGAUUUUCAGUGAAUCAUCGAAUCUUUGAACGCACCYUGCGCUCCUUGGUAUUCCGAGGAGCAUGCCUGUUUGAGUGUCAUUAAAUCCUCAACCCCACCGAUUUGCUUCGGGGGGAUUGGACUUGGAGCGUGCUGGCGAAGGUCGGCUCCUCUUUAAAUGCAUCAGCGGAGAAGAAAGCUCGUCCCAGUGUGAUAAUCCUGUUGCGCUGUGGUGGGGUGAAAAUUCCGCUUCCAACCGUCCUCCGGGACAAGACAUCUCAAUUUGACCUCAAAUCAGGUAGGACUACCCGCUGAACGUAA
rnacentral:rRNA from 1 species